rnacentral:rRNA from 1 species
UACAGAGGGUGCAAACGUUGCUCGGAAUUACUGGGCGUAAAGCGCGCGUAGGCGGCUUUGCAAGUCGGGUGUGAAAUCCCCAGGCUUAACCUGGGAACUGCAUUCGAGACUGCAUUGCUAGAGUAUGGGAGAGGGAAGUGGAAUUUCCGGUGUAGCGGUGAAAUGCGUAGAUAUCGGAAGGAACAUCAGUGGCGAAAGCGACUUCCUGGACCAAUACUGACGCUCAUGUGCGAAAGCGUGGGGAGCAAACAGG